AACGGAUUUUACAGCAACUGUUCUUCCGUUGUGAUGUCGGGUCCUGGGUCUCGAAGGAACGGGUCCAGCAUCAAAAUCCGGCUGACAGUAUUAUGUGCCAAGAACCUUGCAAAGAAAGAGUUCUUCCGGCUGCCGGACCCAUUUGCUAAGGUAGUGGUGGAUGGAUCAGGACAGUGUCAUUCUACAGACACAGUGAAGAGUACUCUAGACCCCAAAUGGAACCAACACUAUG